rnacentral:rRNA from 1 species
GACGAACGCUGGCGGCGUGCCUAAUACAUGCAAGUAGAACGCACAGUUUAUACCGUAGCUUGCUACACCAUAGACUGUGAGUUGCGAACGGGUGAGUAACGCGUAGGUAACCUGCCUGGUAGCGGGGGAUAACUAUUGGAAACGAUAGCUAAUACCGCAUAAUAUUAAUUAUUGCAUGAUAAUUAAUUGAAAGGUGCAAUUGCACCACUACCAGAUGGACCUGCGUUGGAUUAGCUAGUAGGUGAGGUAACGGCUCACCUAGGCGACGAUACAUAGCCGACCUGAGAGGGUGAUCGGCCACACUGGGACUGAGACACGGCCCAGACUCCUACGGGAGGCAGCAGUAGGGAAUCUUCGGCAAUGGGCGAAAGUCUGACCGAGCAACGCCGCGUGAGUGAAGAAGGUUUUCGGAUCGUAAAGCUCUGUUGUAAGAGAAGAACGGGUGUGAGAGUGGAAAGUUCACACUGUGACGGUAGCUUACCAGAAAGGGACGGCUAACUACGUG